AUUGAACGCUGGCGGCAUGCCUUACACAUGCAAGUCGAACGGUAACAGGUCUUCGGAUGCUGACGAGUGGCGAACGGGUGCGUAAUACAUCGGAACGUGCCCGAUCGUGGGGGAUAACGAGGCGAAAGCUUUGCUAAUACCGCAUACGAUCUACGGGUGAAAGCGGGGGAUCUUCGGACCUCGCGCGGACGGAGCGGCCGAUGGCAGAUUAGGUAGUUGGUGGGAUAAAAGCUUACCAAGCCGACGAUCUGUAGCUGGUCUGAGAGGAUGAUCAGCCACACUGGGACUGAGACACGGCCCAGACUCCUACGGGAGGCAGCAGUGGGGAAUUUUGGACAAUAGGCGAAAGCCUGAUCCAGCCAUGCCGCGUGCAGGAUGAAGGCCUUCGGGUUGUAAACUGCUUUUGUACGGAACGAAAAGCCUCUUUCUAAUAAAGAGGGGUCAUGACGGUACCGUAAGAAUAAGCACCGGCUAACUACGUG
rnacentral:rRNA from 1 species